rnacentral:ncRNA from 1 species
GAAACCGGGAGAGGCCGCGCCCAGCGCGGCGCCGAAGGGGCUGCGAGAACUCUCAGGCAAAAGGACCGGUUUU